GUGCAGGGAAAGUUGAAAAGAACUUUGAAGAGAGAGUUCAAGAGUACGUGAAACCGUUCAGGGUGUAAACCUGAGAAACCCGAAAGAUCGAAGGGGGAGAUUCAUCGUCAGCGACGUCGGCUUUCUGACGGCACGCGUCCGUUUGUGCUCGUAUGUCCGUCGUCGUCGUCGUGCACUUCUCCCCUGGUACAACGUCGCGACCCGUUGGGUGUCGACUCAUACCCCGGUGGGGUGCCUGCUCCGCGUCGCCUCGUGCGAACGGUGCGCAGACACCCGGUCGCCCGUCCCGGCUGCCCGGCGGUACUCGAACGAUGGUAUCCGGCCGCAGGUCACUCGAACUGCGUCGGGCCCGCUGCAAGCGCGACCAGCGUCCCUCGGGGUAGUCUGGUCUCUGCGCCGUCCCCGAGCCUGGUCAGCUGUUGGCACGCGGUGUCCCCCGACUGGCCGUCGUAAUCACACGCGGAUACCGGUCGGCGACGCUAUUGCUUUGGGUACUCUCAGGACCCGUCUUGAAACACGGACCAAGGAAUCUAACAUGUGCGCGAGUCAUUGGGACUGCGAAAACCUAAAGGCGAAAUGAAAGUGAAGGUCGGCCCUGGCGACGACCGAGGGAGGAUGGGCCGCGCUCGUCUCGGCUCCGCACUCCCGGGGCGUCUCGAUCUCACUGCGAGAUGAGGCGCACCCAGAGCGUACACGUUGGGACCCGAAAGAUGGUGAACUGUGCCUCGUCAGGACGAAGUCAGGGGAAACCCUGAUGGAGGUCCGUAGCGAUUCUGACGUGCAAAUCGAUCGUCGGAACUGGGUAUAGGGGCGAAAGACUAAUCGAACCAUCUAGUAGCUGGUUCCCUCCGAAGUUUCCCUCAGGAUAGCUGGCACUCGGCCGUUCCGCAGGAACGCGCACGAGUCUCAUCUGGUAAAGCGAAUGAUUAGAGGCCUUGGGGCCGAAACGACCUCAACCUAUUCUCAAACUUUAAAUGGGUGAGAUCUCUGGCUUGCUCGAAGGGUGAAGCCAUCGAGACC
rnacentral:rRNA from 1 species